rnacentral:rRNA from 1 species
GUUAAUAAGGGCGCCAGUGGAUGCUUGGCAAUAG